rnacentral:rRNA from 1 species
CCCGGGGCAUUAGCUAGUUGGGAAGUAACGGCUCACCAAGGCCCCGAUGCAUAGCCGACCUGAGAGGGGGAUCGGCCACAUUGGGACUGAGACCCGGCCCAAAUUCCUACGGGAGGCAGCAGUAGGAAUUUUCGGCAAUGACGAAAGUCUGACCGAGCAACGCCGCGUGAGUGAAGAAGGUUUUCGGAUCGUAAAACUCUGUUGUUAGAGAAGAACAAGGAUGAGAGUAACUGUUCAUCCCUUGACGGUAUCUAACCAGAAAGCCACGGCUAACUACGUGCCAGCAGCCGCGGUAAUACGUAGGUGGCAAGCGUUGUCCGGAUUUAUUGGGCGUAAAGCGAGCGCAGGCGGUUUCUUAAGUCUGAUGUGAAAGCCCCCGGCUCAACCGGGGAGGGUCAUUGGAAACUGGGAGACUUGAGUGCAGAAGAGGAGAGUGGAAUUCCAUGUGUAGCGGUGAAAUGCGUAGAUAUAUGGAGGAACACCAGUGGCGAAGGCGGCUCUCUGGUCUGUAACUGACGCUGAGGCUCGAAAGCGUGGGGAGCAAACAGGAUUAGAUACCCUGGUAGUCCACGCCGUAAACGAUGAGUGCUAAGUGUUGGAGGGUUUCCGCCCUUCAGUGCUGCAGCUAACGCAUUAAGCACUCCGCCUGGGGAGUACGACCGCAAGGUUGAAACUCAAAGGAAUUGACGGGGGCCCGCACAAGCGGUGGAGCAUGUGGUUUAAUUCGAAGCAACGCGAAGAACCUUACCAGGUCUUGACAUCCUUUGACCACUCUAGAGAUAGAGCUUCCCCUUCGGGGGCAAAGUGACAGGUGGUGCAUGGUUGUCGUCAGCUCGUGUCGUGAGAUGUUGGGUUAAGUCCCGCAACGAGCGCAACCCUUAUUGUUAGUUGCCAUCAUUCAGUUGGGCACUCUAGCAAGACUGCCGGUGACAAACCGGAGGAAGGUGGGGAUGACGUCAAAUCAUCAUGCCCCUUAUGACCUGGGCUACACACGUGCUACAAUGGGAAGUACAACGAGUUGCGAAGUCGCGAGGCUAAGCUAAUCUCUUAAAGCUUCUCUCAGUUCGGAUUGCAGGCUGCAACUCGCCUGCAUGAAGCCGGAAUCGCUAGUAAUCGCGGAUCAGCACGCCGCGGUGAAUACGUUCCCGGGCCUUGUACACACCGCCCGUCACACCACGAGAGUUUGUAACACCCGAAGUCGGUGAGGUAACCUUUUGGAGCCAGCCGCCUAAGGUGUA